rnacentral:rRNA from 1 species
AGCGAACGCUGGCGGCGUGCUUAACACAUGCAAGUCGAGUGCGUAGCCCUUUGUAGCAAUACAGAGGGUGGGCGCACGGCGCACGGGUGAGUAACACGUGGGUAACCUGCCCUUCGGUGGGAAUAACCCGCGAAAGCGGGGCGUAAUUCCGCAUAACAUUCCGGGGACACAUGUUCUCGGACUCAAAGGAGUGAUUCGCCGGAGGAGGGGCCCGCGCCCGAUUAGCUUGUUGGUAGGUAACGGCCACCAAGGCUUUGAUCGGUAGCCGGUCUGAGAGGAUGGCCGGCCACACUGGAACUGAGACACGGUCCAGACUCCUACGGGAGGCAGCAGUGGGGAAUCUUGCGCAAUGGGCGAAAGCCUGACGCAGCGACG